rnacentral:rRNA from 1 species
UACGUAGGGCGCAAGCGUUGUCCGGAAUUAUUGGGCGUAAAGAGUUCGUAGGCGGUUUGUCGCGUCGUUUGUGAAAACCCGGGGCUCAACUUCGGGCUUGCAGGCGAUACGGGCAGACUUGAGUGUUUCAGGGGAGACUGGAAUUCCUGGUGUAGCGGUGAAAUGCGCAGAUAUCAGGAGGAACACCGGUGGCGAAGGCGGGUCUCUGGGAAACAACUGACGCUGAGGAACGAAAGCGUGGGUAGCAAACAGG